GAGGGUAUAGCUUUGUUGUAGAGUAUAUGCCUAGCAUGCACAAGGUCCUGAGUUCAAUCUCCAGUACCUUCA
rnacentral:tRNA from 1 species